UCAGAACCCAGGAAGAGAUGUUUUGCGAUCACCUGGCAAGCUACUCCUGAGACAACUAUUAGCAAAUUCCUGGACAACACAUUCGCCACAGAAGGAAGGAUCAUCUUCAAGAUCUGGGCAUCUUUGUCAAGGCCAGCAUCUGUAUCGUAAACUUGUCUACCAUUUUGAAGGUGCUGCACGAACCGUUGUGGUCCCUAACGAUGGCUGCACGCCAACAGCACUGUGGGAAAUGAGAAGAGUGCUCCGUUAUCAGCAACAGCACAAACGCAGAGAUGGGCUCUGUUUCUUGGAGGACACAUUUACAAGAUCGAAUUCAAGAGGACGACUAGUCAUGAAAAUACUGAUGAAUUGUCCCGUUUAACCUUGGAAAAGGAAAUACCUGAAAAAUUUACAAAAGAGGACACUCCUCUUAAUUGAUUCUCCCUAACACAAAUCGAAAGUCUCCUUAUUAUGGCAGAGAUGAUCGAAAGAGAAACGAGAAAAGGCUCCACACUGUCUCAGGUCUACAUUGCCAUCCAAUGUUGCUGGAAUGUGCAGCAGAAAUGGCAAUUCCCCCGCUUUUACCAGCGCGGGAUGAACUUGCCCUAUUUGGGGAUUGCGAGCUGUUUUACCAUCCAAGCUGAGAGUUAAAGUGUUGGAAGAGCUACAUGCUGGUUAGCUAGGCAUGGUCAAAAUGAAAGCAUUGGCUCAAAGCUUUGUCUGGUAGACUGGGAUAAAUCACAAGUUGUUCAGCUUGCUACACAUUGUUUGGGAUGCCAACAUGUCAAAAGAAAGAUGUCCAGAGGUGUCAGAACAGCUUGCUGCAGCCCCAGAGUCAACUCCUACAAACACCAUGAAGGAGGCCCCAGAACCAGAGAUUAUUUCAUGGCCAGAAGUCUCAGCUGCCAAACAGAGUAAACCCCCGACCCUUGUCAGGAAAGACUUUAUCCCAUAGGGGUAAGAAAUAGCAAUUAAAUCUUCUGGCCUGAAUGGGACAAUUUAAAAUUUACUAAACUGUGGAUGUCCAUAUAAGUUGAGAUGCAUUCUAUACUUAGUUGAAGUUUAUAGCUAAGCAGGGAGGAGUGUUGUGCUGUUAAUAUUUCAGUAAUGUUAUAAUAUAUUGUAUGAUUAAGAAUUCUUAUUCAUUUAAAUAAUUCAUUAUGGUUUAUUUGUAAAAGUACAUGAAUGGCAUACGUCACCAUGCCACCGCGUUUUUGUCAAUGUAAAAACGAAACCAAGACACGCACUCCCGGCACCACAUUUCCUUUCAAUUAGUUUUUACAGAGUGUUUUAGAAUUACAAAACAUAACAGUAAGAACAGUUAACAGAGACUAAAUCAUUUUAAAGGAACACCACUCAACUGAAUGAUAAAAUUCAAUUGAAUAUGUUGUUUCUACUGAAUAUUUUUAACUGAAAUUUGGCUUCUAUUUUGAUGUCACUUCCUUUUUAAAAAAAUUCUGUUUACGCAGCAAAAUUAUUCCGCCUAUGCUAUAAUCUGUCAUGCAAAUAAAUUAAUCUGCAAAUAACAGGUGGCAGCCUCUUUGUUUA